rfam:Schistosoma rodhaini strain Burundi genome assembly, scaffold: SROB_scaffold0019284
AGCCUUCUGUAUCCGUGCUGAGAUUUCGUCACAUACCAGACCACAAGGGCUGAUGAGACUCCCAAGUUCAGUUUGAAAACA